AGCGAGCCAAAGUCCCGCGGGUGUCCAGACCGCGGCACUCAAAGCUAGACCGACGGAUAGCAGAAUGAAUCCGUCGAACAGUCGCCGCCGUCGAGCCGGACCUGAUGCGCGCGGUAGCCGUCAGGGAAACUCAGCCAGUAGUCCUUUGCGAGUUCGAGACCGCCGCCCGGUUUCACAUUCGCCAUCACCUCGGCGCCCGGGAUUCC
rnacentral:misc_RNA from 1 species